rnacentral:rRNA from 1 species
AGUGAACGCUGGCGGUAGGCCUAACACAUGCAAGUCGAACGGUAGCACAGUAAGAGCUUGCUCUUACGGGUGGCGAGUGGCGGACGGGUGAGGAAUACAUCGAAAUCUACUUUUUCGUGGGGGAUAACGUAGGGAAACUUACGCUAAUACCGCAUACGACCUACGGGUGAAAGCAGGGGAUCUUCGGACCUUGCGCGAUUGAAUGAGCCGAUGUCGGAUUAGCUAGUUGGCGGGGUAAAGGCCCACCAAGGCGACGAUCCGUAGCUGGUCUGAGAGGAUGAUCAGCCACACUGGAACUGAGACACGGUCCAGACUCCUACGGGAGGCAGCAGUGGGGAAUAUUGGACAAUGGGCGCAAGCCUGAUCCAGCCAUACCGCGUGGGUGAAGAAGGCCUUCGGGUUGUAAAGCCCUUUUGUUGGGAAAGAAAGGCAGCAGGUUAAUACCCCGCUGUUCUGACGGUACCCAAAGAAUAAGCACCGGCUAACUUCGUG